UCCUGGUUAACCCAGGCAGUCUCGUUAGAGUCCCCAGCAUUACCUGUUGGCAACUAACAAUAAGGGUUGCGCUCGUUGCGGGACUUAACCCAACACCUCACGGCACGAGCUGACGACAGCCAUGCAGCACCUGUGCAGAGGCCCCGAAGGGAGGCGCUAUCUCUAGCGUUGUCCUCUGCAUGUCAAGCCUAGGUAAGGUUCUUCGCGUUGCAUCGAAUUAAACCACAUGCUCCACUGCUUGUGCGGGUCCCCGUCAAUUCUUUUGAGUUUCACCCUUGCGAGCGUACUCCCCAGGCGGCACACUUAUCGCGUUAGCUUCGGCACGACCGGGGUUGAGUCCAGUCACACCAAGUGUGCAUCGUUUACGGCAAGGACUAC
rnacentral:misc_RNA from 1 species